UACAGAGGUCUCAAGCGUUGUUCGGAUUCAUUGGGCGUAAAGGGCGCGUAGGCGGCCAGCACAAGUCAGUUGUGAAAUCUCCGGGCUUAACUCGGAAAGGUCAACUGAUACUGUGCGGCUAGAGUGCAGAAGGGGCAACUGGAAUUCUCGGUGUAGCGGUGAAAUGCGUAGAUAUCGAGAGGAACACCUGCGGCGAAGGCGGGUUGCUGGGCUGACACUGACGCUGAGGAGCGAAAGCCAGGGGAGCAAACGGG
rnacentral:rRNA from 1 species